ensembl:snoRNA LOC120095749 small nucleolar RNA SNORA17
CCUGUCCUGAAAGGUGUUGCACGUGUGGCUGCUGUGUCACCUGUGUAUGAGUAGGUGACAGAGAAGACAGGCUAUGUGUAGUCUCAGUGUUCUGACUUGUGAACACCUGCAUGAUUAAGAGCCUAACAUU